ACGUACAACAUACUGCCUCGUGCAGAAUAAUUGCCAGAAGUGGGCUUUGAAGUUCCUCAAAGCCCUUGAAGUUCCAUAUCCCGAACAAAUGAACGAACUUGCAUCAUCGGUCAACCAAAUAUCUCAGGACCAUGGAGACGAAGCGGAUGCUGUCAUCAUCCGUCACCUGGAUGAAAUUUUUGGCGGUUAGGAAAUGGCACAAGUAUGGGUGCUUCUCCAGAAUGCCUCGUAACACAUGGCAAAUGAGUGUGUUUAUUUGAUGCUCUUUGUGACCACAUAUACUCAGUGUGCCUUGGCAAAACAAAUGCCAUUACAAUAGCUGCUACAUGCUCCUUUUUCUUAGUAUGUUAGUGUAUGGCACGAGCUGUACUAUAAAAUCCACUCACAUGAGUAUGCUUACCAAAUGCUGCACAUAACUGCAUGACAAAAGCUUUUUCGCUUACAAUAAAUGUGUAUCUGUCAUCGUGUUUACUUUCUCUUAGUUUACUUCAUUAAUAAAUGGUAAAACUCGCUGGAGUAUAUAUAAUAAUUGACGCUUUUUUUCGCCAUACAAUAAACUUGACAAGCCCAGUGACCAUAUAGUGUGUCACGCAACUAGAUGUAUUAAUUAGCCUGCUUUUUUGUAAAAGAAAUAUUUACAAAUAAAGUUGAACUUGAUACUCA